rnacentral:rRNA from 1 species
GAUGAACGCUGGCGGCGUGCCUAAUACAUGCAAGUCGAGCGAACGGACGAGAAGCUUGCUUCUCUGAUGUUAGCGGCGGACGGGUGAGUAACACGUGGAUAACCUACCUAUAAGACUGGGAUAACUUCGGGAAACCGGAGCUAAUACCGGAUAAUAUUUUGAACCGCAUGGUUCAAAAGUGAAAGACGGUCUUGCUGUCACUUAUAGAUGGAUCCGCGUUGCAUUAGCUAGUUGGUAAGGUAACGGCUUACCAAGGCAACGAUGCAUAGCCGACCUGAGAGGGUGAUCGGCCACACUAGAACUGAGACACGGUCCAGACUCCUACGGGAGGCAGCAGUAGGGAAUCUUCCGCAAUGGGCGAAAGCCUGACGGAGCAACGCCGCGUGAGUGAUGAAGGUCUUCGGAUCGUAAAACUCUGUUAUUAGGGAAGAACAUAUGUGUAAGUAACUGUGCACAUCUUGACGGUACCUAAUCAGAAAGCCACGGCUAACUACGUG